rnacentral:rRNA from 1 species
UACGUAGGGUCCAAGCGUUAUCCGGAAUCACUGGGCGUAAAGCGUGCGUAGGCGGGUGUUUAAGUGCGAUGCGAAAUCCUGUGGCUCAACCAUAUGGACUGUAUCGCAUACUGGAUACCUGGAGGAAUGCAGAGGCAAGUGGAAUUACUGGUGUAGCAGUGAAAUGCGUAGAUAUCAGUAGGAACACCAAUGGCGAAGGCAGCUUGCUGGGCAUUUUCUGA